UCUAUAGUAGUCUAAAAAAGAUAUAAGAUUUAGAAUUUUAAGAUGCAGUAACCUGUAGAA
rnacentral:tRNA from 1 species